UUGACCCUACUGUGCUCGCGAUGCAGCUUUUCCGUUUUGAGCCAACACUUUACAUGUGGGGCCCAUAUUCGUAAAAGUGAAGCGAUAGGCUUCGGCCAAGGCUGAUCUUUUGGAGCGGGUCCCUAACCUGCGAAUGCAGGUUCAAAACUUGGUUGCACACGGCACGGUGGGGUAUCU
rnacentral:other from 1 species